UUUUCAAAAGCCUUUGUGUGAGUAGUAGCCAACGGUCCUUCCUUGCGUUUGCCUGAUCUGAUCUCGGUUUAUUCACAGAUUUCCCUACUCUGCCUUGUCCAUGUCAGGUACCUUCUUGUCUUCUGCUUUCUGGACAAACGACCUUGCUUCUGCCUCCUGACCAACCCUCUCUGCCUAACCCUUGGAUCUGUAUGCCUGUAUCUGGCUCCCCGUUCAUGACCUCACCUCUGUGCCCCGACGCACGAUUGCAGCCUCUCCCUCAGAUCCUGUCGCCUGUUUCUGUCCUCCCGGCUCUGUCCCUGUUUUUGUCUGCUGACACUGGGUUUGCAAACCUGACAGCCAGUGUGACGUUGCCCUGCUGCCUCCUGAUGAUCACACUGAGGAGCCGAAAUUCAGUUAACCUGAUCCUCUCACGGACUCUGAAAAGAGGUUCCUGUGUCUGUUGCUGGUGGUUUCAUGCCGAAGGCCUUCCAGAAAGACCAAUAAAUAUUUUAAAACUUAA